rnacentral:SRP_RNA from 2 species
GCCUGACGUGGUGGCGGGUGCCUGUAAUCGCAGCUACUUGGGAGGCUGAGGCAGGAGAAUCGCUUGAACUCAGGAGGUGGAGGUUGCAGUGAGCUGAGAUGGUGCCACUGAACUCCAGCCUGGGCGACAAGAGCGAAACUCCAACUCAAAAAAUAAAUAAAUAAAAUAUAGAUAGAUAGAUAGAUAGAUAGAUAGAUAGAUAGAUAGUGACCUGCCAGGAGCAGGGGACCACCGGGUUGCCUAAGGAGGGGUGAACUGUCCCAGGAUGGAAAUGAAACAGGUCAAACCUCCUGUGUUGAUCAAUAGUGGGAGAGCACCUGUGAAUAACCACUGCACUCCAGCCUGGGCAACAUAGUGAGACCCGAUCUCUA